GACAGGUCCUAUGGAGGAGGCAGCAGAGACUCUGCUCUCCUCCUUUGGAUUAAUUCUGAUAUAAUAACUGUUGGUUUAUUUAUCGGUGCAGCAGCAGAACCUUUUCCACAGACCGUUUUCCUGCCCGUUGGCUUGUGUUAACCAGUUUUCUGGCUUCGGCUGAUUCUACCAGCAGACACUGAAAGGACUCUGAUUGUUUGACCAAAGAACUACAGACUCUUCACAACCUGCUCAAACUCUUGGUACAGGACCUCACCACACGGGUCAAGAAGGUUUCUGUCUCAUUUCUACUCUGAAGCUCACCUUCUCCUGCUCAAACUGCUGACAAAUGUUUCUGCUGCUCUAAAGUC
ensembl:lncRNA